AUGCACAGUCUGUUGCAAUGACUAACAUGCCUGGUUAGUUUCUGCAAUAGCUCAUCUCUUAGUUCUGUAAUUUCUUGGAUUUGAUGGCCCUAAAUGUAUGUGUAUUAGGAUUGAAGAUGCAUGAGUCAUCCCUGGAGAAUGGAGAUGAAUGAAGAAGUACUGAGAUAGUGAGAGAUGAAAUUCAAACCUGGUAAGGCAGCACAGAUCAUUAUCUAUUUUAUUCAUAAAAUUGUACAUAUCCGUUUCUGGUCUUUUUUGCUUCCGAUUGGUUGGAAAUGGUCCUGGUCCAAGAAAGAUGUCACGAAGUGGUAUACCAAAACAAAGGCUAAUGCUUCGAUUCAGAUUAAUGUAGUUUAGAAGGUAUUACAAAUUAAGUACAAACUAUUGACUUCAAACUAUCCCUUAUUAGCAUUGAAUUAUCGAGUUUGUCUUUUUUAAUUAUUUUGUCCCUUUACAUACAUGGUUCCAUUACCAAAAUCAGGGAGGAGUUUGGUGGUGGUGGAAUCAGGGAGGAGUACAACUGGUGGUGGCUUUGGACAGUGUCAGUUGUUGUUUUGACGGGGACUGCCUUCAGGUCCUGUACCGGCAAUGUCCUGUGUCAUCAGGAACCCCUCAUCCGCCCAUCGCCAUAGUUGGGUUUGUUUAGCUUUUUGCAUGAUAAUUGUUUUAUUACUUAUACAUGGAGUAUUAGGUUGUGUUUUCUGCAAAGAUGCUGAUAUGAAAGCCUUUUUUUCUGGUACAUGUGGUUCAUUCCGCUUUUAUCUUAAUGAUUAACCGACUAUUGAGGAGUUGCACAUAUCCUUAUAAAACAUAAAUUUUGUAUUACGUUCAUGAUUCAGAUGCUGUUCUACCUUGUUCUAUUAUAUGCAUCGAACAUUG
rnacentral:lncRNA from 1 species